CUGGGUCCACUGCAAUGUCCACUCUGUGUCCACUCGGUGUCCACUCCAAUGUCCACUGCAAUGUCCACUCCAGUGUCCACUCCUGUGUCCACUCUCCAUGAGUGACCACAGCUGUGGUCAUUUCUGGGUGGUCAGUUGGUCACUCGGUCACUCUCAGGCCAGCACAUGGUCAGUGUCCACUCUGUGUCUACUCCAGUGUCCACUCUCCAUGAGUGACCACAGCUGUGGUCAUUUUUGGAUGGUCAGUUGGUCAUUCCAGGCCAGCACAUGGUCAGUGUCCACUCCGGUGUCCACUGCAAUGUCCACUCCAAUGUCCACUCCAGUGUCCACUCCAGUGUCCACUCCAGUGUCCACUCCCAGUGUCCACUCUCCAUGAGUGACCACAGCUGUGGUCACUUUUGGGUGGUCAGUUGGUCACUCCCAGGCCAACACAUGGUCAGUGUCCACUCCAGUGUCCACUCUGUAUUGUCCACUCUCCAUGAGUGACCACAGCUGCGGUCAUUUUUGGAUGGUCAGUUGGUCAGUGGCCAUUCCUGGGUGGUCACUCAGUGGUCAGUGGUCACUCCAUGGUCAUUCUCAGGCCAGCCCGUGGUCACUCAGUGAUCAGUGGUCACUCAGUGGUCACUCUCAGGCCAGCCUGUGGUCACUCCCAGGUGGUAACUCCGUGGUCAAUGGUCACUCAGCGGUCAAUGGUCACUCAGCGGUCAAUGGUCACUCAGUGGUCACUCAGUGGGU
rnacentral:lncRNA from 1 species